GACGAACGCUGGCGGCGUGCUUAACACAUGCAAGUCGAACGGAAAGGCCCUGCUUUUGUGGGGUGCCCGAGUGGCGAACGGGUGAGUAACACGUGAGUAACCUGCCCUUGACUUUGGGAUAACUUCAGGAAACUGGGGCUAAUACCGGAUAGGAGCUCCUGCUGCAUGGUGGGGGUUGGAAAGUUUCGGCGGUUGGGGAUGGACUCGCGGCUUAUCAGCUUGUUGGUGGGGUAGUGGCUUACCAAGGCUUUGACGGGUAGCCGGCCUGAGAGGGUGACCGGCCACAUUGGGACUGCGAUACGGCCCAGACUCCUACGGGAGGCAGCAGUGGGGAAUAUUGCACAAUGGGCGGAAGCCUGAUGCAGCAACGCCGCGUGCGGGAUGACGGCCUUCGGGUUGUAAACCGCUUUCGCCUGUGACGAAGCGUGAGUGACGGUAAUGGGUAAAGAAGCACCGGCUAACUACGUG
rnacentral:rRNA from 1 species